UGUCGUACAUUUCAGCAACGAAAUCUCAUUCAAACUGCGCAAUCAGUGCGCAGCUUUAACGCAACAAAAACUUUUGUGACCAAACACGGAAGUAGUUCAAAGAAACUCCCGCGUAGUUUUCAUUGUUUGGAUAAGCCAUGUGCGUUUGAUGGAGAUGCAGUGUUUACAACCGAAUGACUGCGAUGUCUAAACUAAAGAGGAAGAAAUCAGCGAUUGAGGAGAGUAGAUGCGAGCAGCAGACGACGAUCAAAAAGUCAAAUGGCAGUCUGAGUGCAGAACAGGAUAGCAGCUGCAGCAAAACUUCUAACGUUACAGGCAGGGCGAGAUGGUGGGAGAGUUCUGAAUUAAGUGAUGUGGAAAGACUCUGGGCUCUUACCUUGAGGGCUUUUUGCCCAGCCCUGCAGUCUGAUCAGGAAGAAUGUAUUCCACAGCUCCCCCCACCUUCAUCCACGAAAACUCCUGUACAAAAAGUAAGUGAUUGGAGAUGGUGCAGUGCAGAUGAAGAUGUUAAUCCCCCUCCGGAUUUGCCCGCUCCGUCUUUCCUCAACAACCCACAACCAGUGAAUGAGGUCAAGAACCCUUCACAACCUCCAGCAGCAGAGAACAUGGGAGAAUGUAGUCCACCAGCCAUCGCUGAUCAAGAGAAUCAUGCAUCUUCACCUGAUCAGGAGAGUGUGUCAGUAUGUGACGUACAAACUGCUCAGCAGCGCCACCUAGAAGACAAAGUCAAUUGCGUUGAGGGUCAUGAAUUGUCAGACGAACAGAGUGACAAAUUUGACCAAGUGGGGAAAGUCUCAGAAACGCAUAAAGUCACAAGAGGAUCUGGAGCAGGAUUGCAUGUGGAAUCUGGAGCAGGGAAGGGGGCAAAAGCAGGUGCAGGAGGAUCUGGAUCAUGGUUAAGAACAAUAUCUGAAGCAGAAGGAUUGGUAUCAGGCAUGGGAACAAAACAAGGAACAGGUGGAUCUGGAUCAGGGCAGAAAGCAAAAUCUGGAGCAGGUCAGCGAGCAAAAUCAGGAGUAAGAGGAUCUGGAUUGGUGCUGGGAGCAAAAUGUGGAGUGGGAUUGGAUGCAGAAUCUGGACCAGGGAAGGGGGUAAAAACAGGUGCAGGAGGAUCUGGAUCACGGCUAAGAACAAUAUCUGAAGCAGUUUCAAGCAUGGGAACAAAACACGGAGCAAGUGGAUCUGGAUCAGGGCAGAGAGCAAAAUCAGGGCUAGGAGGAUUUGAGUCAGGGCUGGGAACAAAUUCAAGAGAAAGUGGACCUGGAUUGGGGCAGGGAACAAAAUCUGGAUUGAAUUUGGGGAAAAAAUCAGGGACAGAAGAAUCUGGAGCAGCAUCUGGAUCAGGACUGGGAACAAAAUUAAUAGCAGAAGGAUCCGGAACAGCAACUGGUUCAGGACUGGGAACAAAAUCAGGAGCAGAAGGAUCUAGAGCAGCAUCUGGAUCAGAACUGGGAACAACAUCCGGAACAGAAGGAUCUGGAGCAGCAUCUGGAUCAGGACUGGGAACUAAAUUAAUAGCAGAAGGAUCCGGAACAGCAUCUGGAUCAGAACUGGGAACAACAUCUGGAACAGAAGGAACUGGAGCAGCAUCUGGAUCAGGACUGGAGUGCUGCCCAAUGUGUCUGAUGCCAUUUCCUGCAGGGUGAGUGAACAUUUCAUAUAAAUAGGUCAAAAAAUCCACAAAGUUCAUUGAUUUCACAAUGCAGAACCAAAGAUGACAACAAUAUCAAUAGCAUGUAAUGCUUAAACAACCCAAAAUAUCACAUUGCGUGUGACUGCCACGAAAUAUCCAAUGCAUAACAUCUACAAUAUCCCA
ensembl:lncRNA putative per-hexamer repeat protein 5